UUUCUUUGAAGUUUUUAAGGUCAGGCUUGACAAAGCCCUGGCUGGGAUGAUUUAGUUGGGGAUUGGUCCUGCUUUGAGCAGGAGGUUGGACUAGAUGACCUCCUGAGUUCCCUUCCAACCCUGAUAUUUGAUGAUUCUAUGAACUUAUUCUCUCAGCCAUUUAAAAAAA